rnacentral:lncRNA from 1 species
AGAGGAACUGGUUUUCUCAUGCCGACCCAUGUUUGCGAAUGCUGUCGAAAGUUCUUCAGAAUGAAGCUAAUCAAAGUGAAAGUGAUGACAGGACAGAUCGUAUUCGAAAUCCCAGUGACCUGACCACAGGAGGAGCCCCACCACCGAAACCCUGCAAGGAGGUCAGCAGCAAGACCAGGGCAGGUGCCUGGCAGAGGCCUCCGCAUCUGCUGCAACCUGGGCCCUCCCAGCCUCAGCAAAAGGGACUUUGUGGCCACAGCUGCAGUUUAUUUCACAUUCUAUAAUGAUAGCAACUAGGCAGAAGUGACUGUGGACUGAGCAGAACCAUCUUCAAAUUUGUUUUUAUCCUGGCAUAACAGAUUUAAGUUAACCAGCUAUUGAUUAAGUAGAGAACAUAAGAUAGUUAAACCCACUCUGUGUUCUCCCUCAAUAUCUACCCCUUUAGUCUGUUAUUAUGCCAGAAAUUCUCUCAACUGGGAACAAUGUAAUGUUAUGAUUUUUAAAGCCAAUAACACUCUGGUUUACAUUAGUUUACCUGAAUGUUUGGUUGGAUGGAUGGAUGGAUAGAUGGAUGGGAGGAUGGAUGGAUGUGUCAACCUAUAAUAAAAUAUUAUAAAAUAAUCUAAAGAGUCAGAACCACCCAUUUGUGAAAAACAAAAUUUAAAAGCUGUUGGAAUCCAAACUUUCUCUGUUUUUUGUUUGUUUGUUUGUUUGUUUGUUUGUUUGUUUUUGAGAAGGAGUUUCGCUCUUGUCACCCAGGAUGGAGUGCAAUGGCUUGAUCUCGGCUCACUGCAACCUCCGCUUCCCAGGUUCAGGUGAUUCUCCUGCCUCAGCCUCCCGAGUAGCUGGGA